GUAGAAAAAGAGGAUUCGAACCCCUAUCCGAGAGUCCAAAACUCCAGGUGUUCCCAUUACACCAUUUCCUA
rnacentral:tRNA from 1 species